UCUCUGGUAGCUCAGUUGGUAGAGCAUGAGACCCUGAAUCUCAGGGUUGUGGGUUCAAGCCCCACGUUGGGCA